ACGCCGGCGGCGAGCUUAACACAUGCAAGUUGGACGAUAAAGGCUGAAUUGGUUUGGCCGAGUAAAGUAGCGCACGGGUGAGUAACGCGUAGGCAACCUACCCUUGUAUUGGGGAUAACCCCGCGAAAGCGGGGCUAAUACCGGAUACGAUCCCACGAUGGUGGUUGUGGGAUGAAAGUCAGCCAUUCGGAGAAGCUGACUUUCGAGGAUGGGCCUGCGUCCUAUCAGCUAGUUGGUGGGGUAGCGGCCUACCAAGGCGACGACGGGUAGCUGGUCUGAGAGGAUGAUCACCCACACUGGCACUGGAACACGGGCCAGACUCCUACGGGAGGCAGCAGUGAGGAAUUUUGCGCAAUGGCCACAAGGCUGACGCAGCAACGCCGCGUGGGUGAUGAAGGCCUUCGGGUCGUAAAGCCCUGUCAGGUGGGAAGAAAGGCUUGAUUGGGAAUACCGGUUGAGUUUGACGGUACCACCAGAGGAUGCACCGGCUAACUCCGUGCGA
rnacentral:rRNA from 1 species